AUUGAACGCUGGCGGAAUGCUUUACACAUGCAAGUCGAACGGCAGCACGGACUUCGGUCUGGUGGCGAGUGGCGAACGGGUGAGUAAUAUAUCGGAACGUGCCCAGUCGUGGGGGAUAACGUAGUGAAAAUUACGCUAAUACCGCGUACGAUCUACGAAUGAAAGCGGGGGAUCGCAAGACCUCGCGCAAUUGGAGCGGCCGAUAGCAGAUUAGGUAGUUGGUGAGGUAAAUGCUCACCAAGCCGACGAUCUGUAGCUGGUCUGAGAGGACGACCAGCCACACUGGAACUGAGACACGGUCCAGACUCCUACGAGAGGCAGCAGUGGGGAAUUUUGGACAAUGGACGCAAGUCUGAUCCAGCCAUUCCGCGUGCAGGACGAAGGCCUUCGGGUUGUAAACUGCUUUUGUACAGAACGAAAAGGUCUCUAUUAAUACUAGGGGCUCAUGACGGUACUGUAAGAAUAAGCACCGGCUAACUACGUGCCAGCCGCCGCCGUAA
rnacentral:rRNA from 1 species